AGCUAUAACGGAAUUGUUAUUGUCGGCGUUAACACAGAGGAACUACUUUUUUGGGGCGUAGUUACACAACAUGUUAGGUGACUAUAGUGAGUUAAGGGGUAAUGCUGUUUAAUAUACAUAAUUGGGCGCAAAACAGGUAAAUAAGAUACUGACAUACACAGACUAGUUUUAUACAAUAUAUGUUAACAAUAAACACAUAAUUUUGCUGGCCCACAUGUGAAUCACAAUUAUUCACAACAGGAAGUACUUUAAAGUAGGAAUAAGGUUUCAAGAGCAUGAAUAGCUUUUGGAUCGUUUUCAUUUAAAGGCUUUUUGGAAUAUUAACACACAUUCUGACGUUGACAUUGAAGAACUCUACAUGAAAAAUGAGCAAGUUGUGAUUUAUUUUCAUUAUACACGCAUCGCAUUGAAUUGGACUGUUGCCUUGACUAAGAUGGCCGCCACAUAGACACGCCAUGACAUAUUUGGUGACGGCGCGGGCUCGAACCCGCUUUUCUCUGGCAGCUGGGUCUGCCAGCACCUCCGUUGGCAACGCGCCGAGACACGCCCCUGCUCGCGCUGGCCGCGUCAGCAAUCAGCACACCUGGGACUGAUGAGGGCGAGCUGUAUAUAGACCAGUGGACCCGAGGAUCCUCGCCGGAACUUAAUCUUCAGUUACCUGUGUAAGCACCCUGUGUCUGGCUUCCAUCCCAUGAUCUCACUCUCCCCCCCUGUGACUUUCUUGUUUCCGUGUUUGAUGCCCCUGUUGUCUUCUCGCAGUGCUUCCCGUGUUCUCCUGUGAUCCCCUGUUGUUCCCCUCUGGAUUCUGGACUGCCUCCCUUCAUCCUCUACCUUCUUUUUGCACACGGACCCACUGACGCCUCGCUCAGUCCCAUGGACUUCCUGCUUGGAUCACGGACCUUCUUCUGCUUGCUCCUUUAGACUUGUCUGCUUCCUCAUCCAACAAUUAGCGUCGCGGGGGGUGAUGGAGACUAUCUCAGCUGCACACGGUCGGAAGGCGGGGUACACCCUGAACAAGUCGCCAUCUCUUCGCAAGGCAAGACAACAUUCACACUCACAUUCACACACUAGGGCCAAUUUAGUGUUGCCAAUCAGCCUAUCCCCAGGUGCAUGUCUUUAGAGGUAGGAGGAAGCGGGAGUACCCGAAGGGAACCCACGCAGUCACGGGGAGAACAUGCAAUCUCCACACAGAAAGAUCCCGAGCCCGGGAUUGAACUCAGGACCUUCGUAUUGUGAGGCACAUGCACUAACCCCUGUACCACCGUGCUGUCACUGAAUAUACAAUGCAUGCCUUUUUGAUAUUAUUCUAUAUUCUA